GUACUUACUUCAGCAGCCUGUAUACUCCAGUUGGAACAAUAUGGGAAGGUUAGCAUGGUAGCUGCGCAAAGAUGGUAUGCAAAUUCUUGUAUGCUUCACCUUUUGU
rnacentral:snRNA from 1 species